GGCUGAGGAGAGAGUGAAAUGCAAACAGAGGCUUCACGCAGGGAAUGUGGGAGAAGAAGCCAUUUGUGGGAUCUUGAGUCGAAGGAUCAGGAUGAAGGAUGUGGACCCUUGAACAUCACACCCAUGUUUGAUUACAUACAGUAGGAGCCAUUUCUGCUAUUUAUUAGCUUCAAUACGGUACAUUCUGCUUCACUCUUAGUUUCAGAAUUAGAAUUUCACCAAUAUAUAUAUGAACCGAGGAGUCAAAUUAAUUCAGGUUUCAUUUCCAUUAUUUCCAUUUACACGGAAACUGAGAGAAGUCUGCGUCUCUCUGCCUUUUUCCUCUGGUCCUCUGUGCUCAAGGUGAGUUCAGCCCUUCACAGCCCAGUGGGCUGGUAACAUUUCCUACCCAUUAGGAUGGCUAGCUAUGCACAUGCAUUCGCUCCCGCUCUCGCACACACACACUCACAAAGGCAGGGGAGAAAAGGCGAGGCGAGCGCGAGGCAGAAUGCAGGCAGGCCAGCCAGGGUUUUCCGGUACACGGGUCUCAUCCCGCCACACGUCACCCUCAAUUGUGGUUAACGCUGCCAUGAUCAAAGCCUAGCCGACACUUCUCUGUUGCUCCAGCACCCAAAGGCAAAGGAGGGAUGGAGAGCAGGGAGCGGAACAGAGGAGGGUGGUAGAUAGUAGGAAAAAAAAAAAAAAAACAAGAAGGAGGGAGACGGAGGGAGAAUGUGGGACGAGCGGCACAGAAGGGAAGUAGGCAACAGGAGAGAGGGGGAGGAAAUGAGGAGAGGAACAAAAAGGGAGCGUUGGCGGAGGCGGACGCAGAGGAGGCGAGGAGCGACGGAGGCGACGAGGAGGCAGCGGGCGAAUGAGGGAGGAGGAGGGCACGUCUGCGUGGUGCCGCUGCAUGUUCAACAAGGCCAAAGCGGAGAUCAGGUUCAGGUUUGGAAUUAAGCUAGCAGCUAGCAGCUAGCAGCUAGCUGCUGUACAUCUACCACUGCAGCUAACAAUGAGAGCUGACCAAGCCAGGGGACAUUAUGCUGGGAACGAAAGGCACUGAUGGAACUACAGUGUCCGUUCAUGUCAUACUGGGCGGCUCACGCAAAACCAGCUAGCAAUAGUGCCUGAGAGCAAACAACAUGCUGGGACUAGAUAAUUAAGGCUGUUUUGCAUCCUAUGAAACAACAUUCAUAUAUUAGACUCUUAAUGAAAUAAACAUUCAUCUAUACUGACCUUUGAAGGCGUC
rnacentral:lncRNA from 1 species